GACGAACGCUGGCGGCGUGCUUAACACAUGCAAGUCGAACGGAAAGGCCCUGCUUUUGUGGGGUGCUCGAGUGGCGAACGGGUGAGUAACACGUGAGUAACCUGCCCUUGACUUUGGGAUAACUUCAGGAAACUGGGGCUAAUACCGGAUAGGAGCUCCUGCUGCAUGGUGGGGGUUGGAAAGUUUCGGCGGUUGGGGAUGGACUCGCGGCUUAUCAGCUUGUUGGUGGGGUAGUGGCUUACCAAGGCUUUGACGGGUAGCCGGCCUGGGAGGGUGACCGGCCACAUUGGGACUGAGAUACGGCCCAGACUCCUACGGGAGGCAGCAGUGGGGAAUAUUGCACAAUGGGCGGAAGCCUGAUGCAGCAACGCCGCGUGCGGGAUGACGGCCUUCGGGUUGUAAACCGCUUUCGCCUGUGACGAAGCGAGAGUGACGGUAAUGGGUAAAGAAGCACCGGCUAACUACGU
rnacentral:rRNA from 1 species